rnacentral:rRNA from 1 species
GGUUCGAUUCUGGNNNAGGAUGAACGCUAGCUACAGGCUUAACACAUGCAAGUCGAGGGGCAGCAUUUUAGUUUGCUUGCAAACUAAAGAUGGCGACCGGCGCACGGGUGAGUAACACGUAUCCAACCUGCCGAUAACUCGGGGAUAGCCUUUCGAAAGAAAGAUUAAUAUCCGAUAGUAUAUUAAAACCGCAUGGUUUUACUAUUAAAGAAUUUCGGUUAUCGAUGGGGAUGCGUUCCAUUAGUUUGUUGGCGGGGUAACGGCCCACCAAGACUACGAUGGAUAGGGGUUCUGAGAGGAAGGUCCCCCACAUUGGAACUGAGACACGGUCCAAACUCCUACGGGAGGCAGCAGUGAGGAAUAUUGGUCAAUGGACGAGAGUCUGAACCAGCCAAGUAGCGUGAAGGAUGACUGCCCUAUGGGUUGUAAACUUCUUUUAUAUGGGAAUAAAGUAUUCCACGUGUGGGAUUUUGUAUGUACCAUAUGAAUAAGGAUCGGCUAACUCCGUGCCAGCAGCCGCGGUAAUACGGAGGAUCCGAGCGUUAUCCGGAUUUAUUGGGUUUAAAGGGAGCGUAGGUGGAUUGUUAAGUCAGUUGUGAAAGUUUGCGGCUCAACCGUAAAAUUGCAGUUGAAACUGGCAGUCUUGAGUACAGUAGAGGUGGGCGGAAUUCGUGGUGUAGCGGUGAAAUGCUUAGAUAUCACGAAGAACUCCGAUUGCGAAGGCAGCUCACUAGACUGCAACUGACACUGAUGCUCGAAAGUGUGGGUAUCAAACAGGAUUAGAUACCCUGGUAGUCCACACAGUAAACGAUGAAUACUCGCUGUUUGCGAUAUACAGUAAGCGGCCAAGCGAAAGCAUUAAGUAUUCCACCUGGGGAGUACGCCGGCAACGGUGAAACUCAAAGGAAUUGACGGGGGCCCGCACAAGCGGAGGAACAUGUGGUUUAAUUCGAUGAUACGCGAGGAACCUUACCCGGGCUUAAAUUGCAUUUGAAUAAUCUGGAAACAGGUUAGCCGCAAGGCAAAUGUGAAGGUGCUGCAUGGUUGUCGUCAGCUCGUGCCGUGAGGUGUCGGCUUAAGUGCCAUAACGAGCGCAACCCUUAUCUUUAGUUACUAACAGGUCAUGCUGAGGACUCUAGAGAGACUGCCGUCGUAAGAUGUGAGGAAGGUGGGGAUGACGUCAAAUCAGCACGGCCCUUACGUCCGGGGCUACACACGUGUUACAAUGGGGGGUACAGAAGGCAGCUACCUGGUGACAGGAUGCUAAUCCCAAAAACCUCUCUCAGUUCGGAUCGAAGUCUGCAACCCGACUUCGUGAAGCUGGAUUCGCUAGUAAUCGCGCAUCAGCCAUGGCGCGGUGAAUACGUUCCCGGGCCUUGUACACACCGCCCGUCAAGCCAUGAAAGCCGGGGGUACCUGAAGUACGUAACCGCAAGGAGCGUCCUAGGGUAAAACUNNUAAUUGGGGCUAAGUCGUAACAAGGUAGCC